AAUGCGAUCCCCUUUAAGACAGUGUGGAUUUUAAAAUUCAGGAAGCUGUUUUAUUGUCUCCGGAUUGAAACAUGUUCUGCAAGAGGCUCCACAGCUCUGGAGCUUAACUUCCCAGGCUAAUUCUCCAAAACUGAAUUGUUAGAAAUUUUAAGUAAAAUGGCCAAACUGAUAACAUUGCUCUGCCUGAUUGACAGUCACUAGAGGCAGUCCUGUAAGUUCUCAAAAACUGGCAUGAUUUACAUUGCAG